UUCGUACUCCCUCCGUCCCAAAUUACUUGUCGCUCAAAUGGACGUAUCUAAUACAAUUUCGGUUCUAGAUGCAUCCAUUUGAGCGACAAGUAAUUUGGGACGGAGGGAGUACUAU
rfam:Triticum urartu cultivar G1812 contig256614, whole genome shotgun sequence.